rnacentral:rRNA from 1 species
GCAAGUCGAACGAGAACGGUUCUUCGGACCUUAGUAGAGUGGCGCACGGGUGAGUAACACGUGGGUAAUCUGCCCUGGAGUAUGGGAUAACCAUUGGAAACGCUGGCUAAUACCGUAUACGUCCACGAGACCUUCGGUUCUUGUGGAGAAAGGUAGCCUCUUCUUGAAAGGUGCCGGUAUUGGAUGAGCACGCGGACCAUUAGCUUGUUGGUGAGGUAAGGGCUCACCAAGGCAGUGAUGGUUAGCUGGUCUGAGAGGAUGAUC